UGCUGGAUGAAGACCUCCCAGAAGAUGGCUCUCUGCACAGCGAAGGAGACGGCAUCGCCCACAUGGCUCAGUGGAGGAUGAGACAGCUGUGCUGGGGGACGCAGGACGUCCACAAUGACAACGAGAGUGAUUUACAGAGCUACAAGCUUUCAGAGGAUCCGGGGAACAAGAGGACGGACGGAGACCUCGUCCUGGACUUCUGUCCUCCGAGGUGUCCUGCUGCUGCUUUGGGUGUUGAUGUGGAGGAACUGGCUGAAGACUGUUCUGCAGUCAGAUCCCAGCUGGAGUAUCUGCAGAGGUUACUGCUGCAGGAGGAGGACGAGGACACUCUGACCACCGACACGCUGAGUCCUGAGACCGAGUCCUUCCACAGCUCCGACACACAGGUGCAGUCUCUCCUGCAGGAGGUGCAGCAGCUCAGAGAGGAGCUGAGGAGCCGGGACCGGACCAUCGCACAGCUCAGCCUGAAGCUGGUGUGUGUCAGCUGUUACUGUCCUCAUCACAACUACACACCAUCACAACUACACACCAUCACACCUACACACGAUCACAACUACACACCAUCACAACUACACACCAUCACAACUACACACCAUCACAACUACACACCAUCACAACUACACACCAUCACAACUACACACCAUCACAACUACACACCAUCACAACUACACACCAUCACAACUACAACUACACACCAUCACAACUACACACCAUCACAACUACACACCAUCACAACUACAACUACACACCAUCACAACUACACACCAUCACAACUACACACGAUCACAACUACAACUACACACCAUCACAACUACACACCAUCACAACUACACACGAUCACAACUACACACCAUCACACCUACACACCAUCACACCUACACACCAUCACAACUACACACCAUCACAACUACACACCAUCACAACUACACACCAUCACACCUACACACCAUCACACCUACACACCAUCACACCUACACACCAUCACACCUACACACCAUCACACCUACACACCAUCACACCUACACACCAUCACAACUACACACCAUCACACCUACACACCAUCACACCUACACACCAUCACACCUACACACCAUCACAACUACACACCAUCACAACUACACACCAUCACACCUACACAUCAUCACACCUACACAUCAUCACAACUACCAGCACAACUACACACCAUCACAACUACACACG
rnacentral:lncRNA from 1 species